CCUACGGGGGGCUGCAGUGGGGAAUAUUGGACAAUGGGCGAAAGCCUGAUCCAGCCAUGCCGCGUGUGUGAAGAAGGCCUUCGGGUUGUAAAGCACUUUCAGUGGGGAAGAAAGCCUUGGGGCUAAUACCCUCGAGGGAGGACAUCACCCACAGAAGAAGCACCGGCUAACUCCGUGCCAGCAGCCGCGGUAAUACGGAGGGUGCGAGCGUUAAUCGGAAUUACUGGGCGUAAAGCGCGCGUAGGCGGUCUGAUAAGCCGGUUGUGAAAGCCCCGGGCUCAACCUGGGAACGGCAUCCGGAACUGUCAGGCUAGAGUGCAGGAGAGGAAGGUAGAAUUCCCGGUGUAGCAGUGAAAUGCGUAGAGAUCGGGAGGAAUACCAGUGGCGAAGGCGGCCUUCUGGACUGACACUGACGCUGAGGUGCGAAAGCGUGGGUAGCAAACAGGAUUAGAUACCCGAGUAGUC
rnacentral:rRNA from 1 species